AGGAACCUGCCUCAAAGAGGGGGACAACAGUUGGAAACGACUGCUAAUACCGCAUAAGCCCACGGCUCGGCAUCGAGCAGAGGGAAAAGGAGCAAUCCGCUUUGAGAUGGCCUCGCGUCCGAUUAGCUAGUUGGUGAGGUAACGGCCCACCAAGGCGACGAUCGGUAGCCGGACUGAGAGGUUGAACGGCCACAUUGGGACUGAGACACGGCCCAGACUCCUACGGGAGGCAGCAGUGGGGAAUAUUGCACAAUGGGGGAAACCCUGAUGCAGCGACGCCGCGUGGAGGAAGAAGGUCUUCGGAUUGUAAACUCCUGUUGUUGAGGAAGAUAAUGACGGUACUCAACAAGGAAGUGACGGCUAACUACGUGCCAGCAGCCGCGGUAAAACGUAGGUCACAAGCGUUGUCCGGAAUUACUGGGUGUAAAGGGAGCGCAGGCGGGAGAGCAGGUUGGAAGUGAAAUCCAUGGGCUCAACCCAUGAACUGCUUUCAAAACUGUUUUUCUUGAGUAGUGCAGAGGUAGGCGGAAUUCCCGGUGUAGCGGUGGAAUGCGUAGAUAUCGGGAGGAACACCAGUGGCGAAGGCGGCCUACUGGGCACCAACUGACGCUGAGGCUCGAAAGUGUGGGUAGCAAACAGGAUUAGAUACCCUGGUAGUCCACACCGUAAACGAUGAUUACUAGGUGU
rnacentral:rRNA from 1 species